rnacentral:rRNA from 1 species
GACGAACGCUGGCGGCGUGCCUAAUACAUGCAAGUAGAACGCUGAAGGAGGAGCUUGCUCUUCUGGAUGAGUUGCGAACGGGUGAGUAACGCGUAGGUAACCUGCCUGGUAGCGGGGGAUAACUAUUGGAAACGAUAGCUAAUACCGCAUAACAGUAGAUGUUGCAUGACAUUUACUUAAAAGGUGCAAUUGCAUCACUACCAGAUGGACCUGCGUUGUAUUAGCUAGUUGGUGGGGUAACGGCUCACCAAGGCGACGAUACAUAGCCGACCUGAGAGGGUGAUCGGCCACACUGGGACUGAGACACGGCCCAGACUCCUACGGGAGGCAGCAGUAGGGAAUCUUCGGCAAUGGACGGAAGUCUGACCGAGCAACGCCGCGUGAGUGAAGAAGGUUUUCGGAUCGUAAAGCUCUGUUGUAAGACAAGAACGAGUGUGAGAGUGGAAAGUUCACACUGUGACGGUAUCUUACCAGAAAGGGACGGCUAACUACGUG